AUCGCUUCUCGGCCUUUUGGCUAAGAUCAAGUGUAGUAUCUGUUCUUAUCAGUUUAAUAUCUGAUAUGUCCUCUAUAUGGGGACAAAGUAUUAAACGGAUUUUUAGCACCUGGAGCUGAAAGAGGGGCUUGCUCCGUUCACUCCACGCAUCGACCCGGUAUUGCAGUGCCGCCGGGAACGGUGCACCCUUC